AAAAUAUUAGUGAACACCAACAUCACAGAAAAGUAAAAUUUAAGGUCAUUGCAUGGAUCCUGCUGAAGGAGUCAGAUUUGAUUUACAGGGAAGAGUCUCACUAAUAAACUCUGACCAUCUCUUAAACUAAAAAAAAAAAAGAAAACAAAAAUAUCUACGAGCGCCAUGGAUCACCAAAGUGCCACAGACAUAGAGAUCUUGCUAAUAUCCAAGGAUAAGAUUUUCCUUUCUCUCAUAAACUCAACUUUCAGCACUAAGGUAGCAAUGGAGUUCUAUCCUUAUAUGCCAUUCACAAAGACAAAGUGAGCACCAACAUGCAUUCCCAUGCAAACUGCAAUCAUUCAUAAGUGAUGAGAGGACUAGAAAACCAAAUCAAAUUACUUAUUUCUUUCUGUGGAAGCUCAGUUGAAUAAGAUUUUGAGAUUCAUAAGCGUGAUCUAUACACAAAUUAACCCUAAAGAUCUGAAGUGUGAAUGCUAUAACAAAGGGUCACCAAAAGGUAACAUGCAUUGGCAACAGAAUAAGAUCGAUGGAGGACAAGGAGUAGAAGUGUGUCCAAGUACUGAUAUCAUAGAAACAUUAUUGGGUAUCAAUAGGAAUUUAGUAAGUGUAAAGCUGCCAGAAUAUAAUGUUCCUAGUAAAAACAAGAACUUGAAUUGGACUUGAACAAGAGAUCAGAUGUAACCACACAUAAAGGAACGACAAAAGAAUAAGUUCAAACUACCAAAACUUGGAUAAAAUCAUCAAGAAUUGUGUGGAAGACAAAACAUGCAGAAGUGUUCACAAAGGUCUGGAUUUUCUCACAUAGUAAAUGGAGCAUUUUAUAGAUGGUACGGUUACUUGAAAUGCGGCUAAACUAUGAAAAAAAACCAUGCGUGGUAGUCUCGAGAGUGCAAAAUUUCAAAAAGGAAUGAAGAACCAAAUUGGAUAAUAUCAAAAUUAUAGAAACAACUAACUCAUAUCUGCCAACCACAAAUGAUAAAUUAUAGAAACAACUAACUCAUAUCUGCCAACCACAAAUGAUGUUUCAGAUCAGACUUGGCACUAACUAAAAAACGUUCAUGUCUCAUGAAAUGUCAUUUCUGUAGAUAAUAGUAUAUGGGUUGUGAUCAAUAUUGGUAGCCACCGUAGGCCUUUGUCUCCUGCCAUUGUUUGGAAAAAUGUCCAUGGAGCUAGAAUUAAGCAUGUGUUUCAACCAAAACUAUGAGGAUAAAGAAAUUAAAAAUACAAAACAUGCUAAUACCAAGUUUUA
rnacentral:lncRNA from 1 species